rnacentral:misc_RNA from 1 species
AGAUGAAGAACGUAGCGAAAUGCGAUACUUGGUGUGAAUUGCAGAAUCCCGUGAACCAUCGAGUCUUUGAACGCAAGUUGCGCCCGAAGCCAUUUGGUUGAGGGCACGUCUGCCUGGGCGUCACAUAUCGUUGCCCGAUGCCUAUUGCACUCUGAUAGGAAAUUCUAGGGCGAAAGAUGGCUUCCCGUGAGCGUUGUUGCCUCGCGGUUGGUUGAAAAUCGAGUCCUUGGUAGGGUGUGCCAUGAUAGAUGGUGGUCGAGUUUGCACGAGACCGAUCAUGUGUGCGCUCCUUAAAAUAUGGACUCUUUGACCCCACACGCGUCUUUUGACGCUCAUGACGAGACCUCAGGUCAGGCGGGGCUACCCGCUGAGUUUAAGCAUAUCAAUAAGCGGAGGA